rnacentral:rRNA from 1 species
GUAUCCUGGCUCAGGAUGAACGCUAGCUACAGGCUUAACACAUGCAAGUCGAGGGGAAACGACAUCGGAAAGCUUGCUUUUGAUGGGCGUCGACCGGCGCACGGGUGAGUAGCGCGUAUCCAAACCUGCCUACCACUUGGGGAUAACCUUGCGAAAGUAAGACUAAUACCCAAUGACAUCCCACGAAGACAUCUGAAUGGGAUUAAAGAUUUAUCGGUGAUGGAUGGGGAUGCGUCUGAUUAG